rnacentral:lncRNA from 1 species
GAUAGUUUUAGAUUUGGAAUAUAACAUGGUUAUUAUAGUUUGUUCUAUGGUUCAUUUUUCAUUAUCUGUUACCCUGUAAAUAUAAUUUAUUAAUUUUGAUGAAAAAUUUAUCAACAUCUUCUUUUAUAGUCAAUACUUUUUACUUAAAAUAUUUUCUUGAAUCAAAAGAAUUAAAUUAUUUCCUGGUGUUUCUUAUUUAUUAGUACAUACUUGCGACGCAUAAUGAUUACAUUCAUCAUGGGGAGUGGGUACAUGUACCUAAUGUAUUUCGAUUAUUUUUUUAUUUCCUCCUUUCAUCACUCCCCUGUUUCUCCAUCUUUUGACCCCUUCUUUUUUGCAAAAGAUCCAUUUCCCUGGGUCAUAUCACCUACAUUUUAUUUUUCUCAUUAAUUUAUUCAUAUUUUGGGUGUCCUAUAUAAGAGAAAUCAUAUGAUAUUUAAGCUUUAGUGUCUGAUUUAUUUCACUUAACAUUAUGGUCUCAAAGUGUAUCCAUUUUCCUACAAGUGCUUAAAGUUUAUCCUUAUUUAUGUCAGAGUAGUACUCGAUUGUGGAUAAAUAACCCAUUUUAUUUACCCAUUCAUCUGUUUCUUAAAAAUUGUAUUGCUUUGCCAUUCACAAUUAGACAGUAAAUCUCUUGGGAAUUCAGUUUGAAUUAGUUAAGAUUUAAUUUCACCUUUUUUUUCAAAUUGGAUGGCUUUUAUGCCAAUUAGCAAUUAAUUUUCCUCAAGUCCCAGUGAGUAACCAUGAGUUUUGUUUUGUGUGUAUUUUUCCAUAUAAAAUUUUAAUAAAUAUAGAAACAUAUAAAAAUAUACAUUCAUCUCUGAAACAGGUUUUACAUAUAAUGCAGCAUAGUGUCCUACCCUAACUACUUGGCCACAGUCUUUUUGUUCAUAACAUCUAGAAGUUGUCAAUAAUAGUAAAAAAUAUCACAUUCACUAUUAGCAAAUUAUGUUAUUGCUUUAUGCAAUAAUAAUUAAUUAAAUAUUUUGCAUUUUCUUCACUUGUCUGUUUCAGUUUGUCAUAUGUCUCACAUUGACAUAUGUGGGAGAGUUUCUUCUUUAUAUGUGAUUUUGAAGCUGUCCAUUAAUGUCAGGUUCUAUUAAUUAUUAUAAAUGAGAAACAGACCUUGAGACAUGAAAUAGUAAGAAAUAUUUUAGCUUUCUAAUGCCUGUCCCUUCUCUUAUACGUAUCUUUUGUACUGAUUAUAUAUUUUUCGUUUUUGUUUGCCAGAGGUAUGGCAAAUUGUUAGUCUUUAUGUAGUAUUUACUUCUUAUUUAUUCUUUUCUAUUUCACUGAUUUGCUUGACUAGAUUUUUAUUUCCUUCCUUCUAUGUGUUUACUAUGCUGUGUGUUUGCUAACCUGUAAGACUUUUUUUUUCUUUCAGUCUCAUUCUCUUCUACCUUUACCUGCAAAGAUAUAAUGUUCCUUUGAAAUAAAAUUUAAGGGGCAACCCACAAGAUAUGUAGCAUUUUCACUUAAUUCCACUCAAAGUGAUACGGAAAAGUUUUAGAUAAUAGAUUGAAUAUUAAGGUAAUUGUAGAAGCAAAGUAAGUAAUGUGUUCUUUUAAGAUUUGCUUUUCCUGUAACUCCUUGUUUAAGGUGAGGAUUAUCUGACUCUACUCAGUAACUUCAUUAACCUAACAAAGUUACCGUGCCAGGGUGAAUUUACAAUGUUUAUGGCCUAUCUUGUGUCUGUGACUUGUAAUUGGAAACUGGAAUUGUAUUUACAUAUCAAAGACCACUAGGGGUGAGAUAAUGGCUAAAAAGGAUAUAAAAAAAAGGAAAUGCUGAACAAAGGGGGCCCGGAUACUGACCAGACUGGUUUCUGGCAUUCCCUUAACCUCGCGAGAAGAAAUUUUAUUAUUUUAUCCGAAUUCUGUGUCUCUGUGUAUUUCUUUCCGAGAUUUCUGCAACAAAAGCACUUUCUAAUUUUUUAUUAUGCUUUCCCCGUUGAUUCAUAUGCUACACUUAGAUGUGUAAGUUGUCAAAUGUGAUGAUUUUAUAGUCAUAUUUUAUUGUGUAUUUCUAAAAAUUUCAUCAUGGCCUGUAAACAUGAUGCAUAUAUUUUCACAAUCUUCCAAAAUUGUGGAAUCUUCAUGUACAAAAACUUUGGAUGAAAGCAACUUAACUGAGGUUAUAUAAGCAAAUAUUGAUUUAUGUCUCGGGUAACUCUUGCAACCUGAAGUGAACUCCACUUCUCCUCAGUAUAGGCAGCGAAUAUUUAUAGUCAGAAAGUGGAAGUACAGAAAUAGCCUCAGUAGUUACAAGCAGGUCUUCAACUUAUUUAAAUGUAUUAUGAUCAGCUGGCUGCCUGUGAUUGUCUGAGAUCCAACUACUUGUAACAAACAUAUAUAUAUAACAAACAUUAUAUAUAAACCUCUACAUUAGGUUUCUUAUUAUUUACACUUACUAAUUUAGGUUGCAAUUUAACUAAGUACAGAGAUAGCUUCAACAUAAAUUUAACAUUUGUUAUAGUAUCUUGUCAACUUUUGUGUUUUGUUUUUGUUGAAAAAAUACUAUUUUGCGGUUGUUGAGGGCAGACUUCUUAAAAUCUUAGGUCUUAUUUUAAUCAAGUUAAUUAAACAUUCUGUAUCUUUCCUAAUUUCCUCUCAUUCUCCCUGUUUCAUCAAUUACUGAGUAUGAGAUUUGCACUUAAAUCGUUUUAUUUAUCUUUAUAUUUCUGAGAGUUUUGUUUUGUUUUCUUAACAGGCUAUGUUGUGAUAGUAUGAUAGUUAACUGUUGUGUCAACCUGAGUAAGAAACUCCUAAUUGACUUAGCACAGUUCUGGGUGUGACUGAAUGAAUUUAUUAAAGAUGGAAGACCCACUCUGGGUGUGAGUGUCACCAACCAAUAAGCUUGCACCCUGAAUGAGAUUAAAAAGCAAAGAAGGAAAGCUCCCUUCUGUUUGUUCAGAGGAGCUUUAGUCUUCACCUUUAUCUUGAAUGUUGGCUCUCGGCUUCCAGUCCAGUCUUAAAUCUUGUGGCACAGAGUUUUCAGACUUCCAUCUCAGAACCUUCAGCUUUCUGAUAUGGACUUGCAUAGGACUCUACAGGAAGCUCCAGACUUCCAACUUUUGAUUGGAUCUUUUGAAUCUCCAGUACCCAGACAGCCAUUUUGAACCCUUGCACACCUGACUCUGCAGGCAGCCAUUAUGAGCCUGCUUUGUAAAUCCAUGUAUGUGUAUAACAUAUAUGUGCUCUAGUGAGCACUCACUGACCGAUACAGAUUUGCAGAAAAAAAUGUGAAUGUUUGCCUUUUUACAGAAUUGAACAUUUCAUUACUGCAGCAUGCUCCUCUACCUUUAAUAUUUUUUAGCUUUUCAAUACUAAAUUUUCUUUAAAUUCUAUCUACAGAUUAACUCUAUGUAUGUUUUAAUUUUGUGUUUUUCUCAUAAUUUAAUGCUUAUAUUUUCGAUGCCUGUCUUUUUCUAGAACUCUUUUAAAUAGCAUAUAGUUGAUUUUCUAAUAGUGAGACAACCCUCAUAAUUGAUAACACCAUAGGCUAUUUAUAUAUAAUAUAAUGAAUGCUAUAUUUAGAUUUAAAGGUUUAAAUCUACCACUUUCUAUUUAUAACAACCCUUCAGGGAUUUAUUUUAUUUUGCAUUUUUGAGCUUUCAUUGAAUUAGCAUAAAUAAUUUUUAUUUAUAUCAUUUUCUUUUAGUUGUUCAACUACACAUAUAGCAAAUAUUCUGUAAAGAUAAAAUAUUAUAAAAAGUGGUUAAGUAGAUGAAUAAAGCAGUUGAAAAGUAAAGAGAGGCUUAAAAUUUUAUUAUAAAUAUUUCUGAUUGUUUUUUACUGUAGUAAUUUUAUAGCAGUUUUUGAAGUUAGAGCUGCACUGAUUCUACUGAAAGAUAAUUCCAAAAAUGCACACAGUAACAAAUAAAAAUUAUUUCCCCUUAAUGCAUUAGAUUAUCUGUUCAGCUUUCUUCCUUGUCCAUUUACUUGUGGUCUUAACAGCAUGAAUAUAAUUUAUAGAGCAGAGUCACUCUAAAAAAUGAUUUAAUUUUUACAAUAUGCUUCUCAACACAUUAUUGUAUGUUUUCAAAGCAUGGUUUUUCAAAGCAUGGUGACAUUCUAGGAUACAAAGUGUCCAGAAGUGCUCUGGCCUUUAUGUGAUUUCUUGUUUUCAUUACAUGAAUGAAUACCUCACAGUAAAUCUGGUACAGGAAGAAAGAUGAAGUAGUGACAAGAUCUGAAGAGGGAAGUUUCUUUUUAAACUUUGUCAAGAAAUAUUACACCCGUGGACCUCAUUAUUUUUCUGAUCUGCAAAUAAAAGCAUAGCCUAGAUGAUGUUUAGGCCCUUUACCAGCCAUAGAAGUUCCUAACAGUGGAAAUAUGCAGAAACCAGGCAGUUCCAUCUUUUUCUCAAAUUCUGCACCUUCUAAUGAUGCUACUUGUCACAAUUAACACAUCUCUCUGGAAUAUGUUUCUCUUUUUCAUAACCUAGGUUAACCUGAGAUAUAAAUAAUAUUUAGGAAGAAGUUUAAAAAAGACCUAUUCUAUAGCAGAUUCUAUUAUUAAUUUUCAUCAUCCCGAUGGAUGGUAUGCACGUGGUAAUUAUUAGCAUUAUGGAACAUUAAUAUUUCACUGUUUAUCUGGGACUUUACUAGUGUUCCUUUUCUCCCAUAUUAAUAAAGUGUAGAAUAUUAAUGUAUUAUAUAGAUCCUUUUUCCAUAAAAAUUAUGAAUCCUUAGACGUCCAUAACUUUAUAUUAAGGUCUUUAAAAUGCCCACACAUUUAAAGACUGAUAUAGUCUUACAGUGUUUAAGCAGCAUCUUGGAAAGUGUGUGGUAGAUUAACUAAUGGUCAAUUUAGAACGCCCAGCUGAACUGAGUCAGUGUGGUUCUGGGCCUGGAAGACCCACCUGAGAAUUGUUGCCAAUGAGAACUGGAAGGGAAGAUUGUAUGCUGUUGAUUUUCCUGGAGAAGCUUGUAGUGGCUGGUUUUCCUAAUACAAACUCAGCUGUUUUCCUCAUCAGAGGAGCUCAGGUCCUUGUUAUCACCAAGGUGGGUUAUUUUUCUCUUCCAGGGAGCUCUGGUCUUUACCUUUAGUGUCACUUCCUGGCUCCAGUGCAGAUCCCUUGGAUCCUUCACACACACACAUGCACACACACGCACACACACACAUACCCCCCACACACCCAGUGCAGACUUUCUUGUUUCCACCACUGGACUUCGGGCCUUCCUGGUGCAGUUCCUUGAUAUGGACCUGCAUGAGACAUUGCCCUAGACUCUAGGCCUCUGGCUGGACUCAUGGAGGAGAUUACCAUGGAAUCCAGGGCCUUGGCUGAAUUAUUUGGAUUUCUGGCAUGCAGACAGAUCUCUUGCACUCUUCUGCAUUUGAGUUUUUGGGUGAAUGUUAUAAAAAUCUAUAAAUUAUGUGUCCUAUAUUAAAUCUAUGCCUUUGCAAACCCUGACUACAACAAAAGGUAUUGUGAAGGAUUGGGAAAAAGUGAACUAAGAAGAAAAUUGAAUGUAAGAUUAUUAUUGAGGCUGAAAAAUAAAUCUUAUUACUGUCUUCUGGUAUUUUACCCAUGUCAUUUCUUCUUCUGCAUUUUGGUGUGACAACUGUAAUAAAUUUUACUGUAAAGUGGUCAACUGAGAUUGGAAGGUCACUGUGGAAAUUGGAGGUGAGAGUCCCCUAAAGUGAUGCCAACUGGAAAGCACAACAUUUUACUUUCAUGAUGCGAAGAUUUAGUUCCUUGACCUCUGGGUGGUUAAGCAUGAUAUAUAGAACACUUCAUUUCUGAUAUAUGCAUGUGAAACCCUAUCAGACUGAAGAUUUAAACUACUGCUUGAAUAAUAGCUAAAGUUAUCCUGAAGUACUUUAGAAAGAAAAAGGACAAUAAGAACAAAGAGAAAGAAGAAGGAAAAUAGGAAAAACUUUUUAAAAGGAGAAGAGGAUGAAGAGAGAAAGGGAAGAAAGGGGAAAAAAAUCAGUCAAGUUGCUUACUUUCCUUUCUGCACAAAUGCCAUCCUGUAAAGAAAAAAAAAUGUUUUGAAAGGCCUUUAACAUAAACAUGGACAGCUGUUUUAGACAUUGUAAUGUGUAAAUUUUAAAGAUACACCAUGAAAAAAAAAGUAUUCAUUCUGAAAUGUCAAUUUUAUAGCUCUAAGGGCGAGGUCCUAAGGUUUAGAAGUUAAAAGUAAGUUAACUCCUUGCUUAUGUGAACAUUAAACUGUCAGCAUGGAAGUAAGUUUAAAACUUACAAUGGCCUGAAAAUGCGCUGCUGAAUGAAGUCUGAAGACCCAUUAACCUUCCUGAGAUGUAAACUGGGAACCACUACACCUACUACACUCUGCCAUGCAGCAUGAGCUUGACAACUCUGGUGUCCAAGCCAGUUAAGAGAUGGGUAAUUAAGCUGACAAUUGUUGCUUUCUUCCUAAACAUAAUGAUCAUGGUUGCUGUUUUCAGUAUUCAUUUAGCAAUUGCAUGCUUAAAGGAAAUGAAAUAUUGGCUUGCAAAAGAGCAACUAUUCCUUCAAAGUUCUAUUCCUUCAAUUUUUGUUGAAUAAUAGUAAUAUAGUACUCAAUACACAGAUUGAUCAAUAACCCAUCUUUCCUUGGUUUUACAGGUUAAUGAGGACUUAGAAGGAAAACAUAUUUGUGAACAUACCAACAUUUAGAUGUACCAGGGAUCAAACUCAGGACCUUGCACUUGAGAGGCAGAUGAGGAAACUGGUGUACACAUGGAAGAAAGAAAUGAUGGCUUAAGGAAGUUGAUGCUAUGUGAUCAUGUAUUUAAAUUUUACAUUGUCAAGACUAUUUUUAUUACAAUAAAAAUUUCUUUUACUUUGGGUCAUGAAUGUCUCUCUCUCUGAUACUGUAUGUACUUGCUACUGAUAUUUGAACAGUAUUUAAAUAUCUUUUUACACAACCAAACUAAGACCAGGAAACCAAAACGAAAUUAACUUGAGAGCAUAAGUUAAUUUCUUGAUAUAAAAUUUAAAUGCCCACGUAUUGGUUAUCACUUUUAAUAAGACUUUUGUGAAGUUAAUCAUGAGAAAUCAGGCUUUGGUCUACCAUAAUUAUAGGGUAAGGAUAUCAUUUAAUUUACUGAGCAAUUUAAAGAAUAGUAAAAGUUAAUACUUCCAUAGGCUUUCUUUAUGCCAGGCACUACUAUAAAAGCUUUACAUAUGUUAUUUCAUUUAACAUUGACAAUAGCACUUUGUGCUGCAUCAUUACUAUCAUUCCCAUUUUAUCGACUACUGGAAAUGUAAGAAUGUUUUUAUGCUGCAAAAUCAAUCUUAGAAGCUAUUUGAGUAUUUAGUCUCCCAAAGCCCUCACAACUGUAUUUUCUUUGCAGACACUUGCAUUUUCUGACAAUAAAAGGAAAAGAGGCACUCAAAAUUUUAUUAUAAAAGCCUAGAAUUUUAAGAAAUUUGUCAUAACACAUCCAAUGCAUGUAAUUUCCAAUGUUACGUCGUCUUUCUUUUCAUCUGCCAGAGUACAGAUUUUUGGCUAUUUUGAGUAUUAUUAGAUUAGUAUAAAUAUUUACUUGAUGAAUUAUUCCAAAUAAAUUGCUGUUCUCUAAUGUGACAAAAAUAAAAUUAGUCACAUACCGUAUGAGAAAAAAGUCUCCCUACAUAAAUGUUAAUGCUUUGUAAAUUCCUAUUUAUAAUGGAUUCAAAAUGCUUUCUGUGGGAUCUGGUUAUGUAUAUUGUUUAAGUGAUCCUUAAACUGUUAGCUCUUGCAAAAGGAUGCAUCUGCAUAGUUGUAUUAGUUUGCCAUUGACCCAUCAGCAGGCACAGGCAGAUCAUCUGUACCAUGUUUGGUUUUCAGCUACUGAAGCAACUUGUGAUUUUUCUGACAGAAAAAAUUUAAAUGCUCUUUGGGGGAAAACUAAAUGAAAUCUCCACUUUUAGCCACUAUUUCCCAAGUCUCCUGAAAUUCUUUGCUCAUUCCUGGUCUUACCUUUUUAGCUGCUCAUAUUUCUCUCCUAUCUCAUGGACAGGAGCUUGAUUUUAUUCAUCUUUGUAGUUCCUUUCUUAUUAUAAUUACUGGCAUAAUACAGUGUUGAAAAUCUAUACUAAUGAGUGCAAAUGUAAGUUACAUAAGUAUAACCAAUUAAUGUGAACUAAAAUUCAUAAAUUCAAUUCGUAAAUGGAUCUCAUCGUGAACUCAACGUGAAUACAUAUUGAGUUCAUGAUUGUUUUCUAGAUGUGAAGUCUCAGUUCUGUCUAUGGACUACUUUUCUGCACUUCUGCUUUCUCAGGUUUUGAUAGUGCACUUACAUUUUAUUUAUUUUUUUCUCAAAGUCCAGAUAGUAAACUACAAUAAUUUCUACCCCUGCCGUAAAAGAUAGCCUGUUACACUUGAAUCUCCUCUCUUAGUCACUGCAAAUCCUUGUUCAAUGAAUAUUUUAUAAUGAUCUAAGUUCCCCCAAUUUUAUUUUUUAGCCUGGCUGAAAAUCUGCUCAAGAUUUUCAAGUGUACUGUGAUUUCCAAUUGUAAGCAGUAGAACUACCACCAGGAUGAUAAAUGCCUUUGGUAGAUUAUUUUGUUUUCUUCUAUAUUAAUUAGUUUCUUCUGCUUUCUUCUCUCAUGGUCAUUGCUGUGUUUCACUGAAACUCAACCUAUGUGAUGAGUUCCUUCAAAAUUUAUGUUAAAGUCCUAGUCCUCAGAAGGAGAUGUUAUUUAAAAACAGGGUUGUUGCAGACAUAUACAGUUGAGAAGCAGCUGUGGUGAAUCUAUGGCAAGCAUGCUGCAGUGGGCUGUUUGCAUCACUCAAAAAAGUUUCACCUCUAAAAGUUUCACCAUGACUGAUUGAGAGAUUAUAAUGGAGUAGGGUGUGUCCUCAAUCCAAUGUGACAAGUGGUCUCAUAAGAAAGGAGAUUUGGAUACAGGCACACACAAAAAUACUACCUUAAUAAACAAUACCAGGCCCCAACUAUUUCCAAGACAGUGUGGCGUGGCACAGGUGCAUGGCAGAGGAGAAACAGCUGGUGGCAUGACAAUAGGAAGAAGAGAAAGCGUGAUGGGAAUCAUAAAUUCAUAAACAAUGAAUUGAUGCUUGGUCAAUACAAGUUUUGUUACUUUCCAUGUUGGCUUUUAUUAAAAACAUGCUGUCUUAGAAGCAAAAUUUUUGUGACUGGGCUGGGGAUUUAGCUCAGUGGUUCCACUGCCUGCCUUGCAAGCGCAAGGUCUUGAGUCUGAUCCCCGGUACCAAAACAAAACAGCAACAAAAAAUUUGUGACUGAGUUUUGUUUUUUACUUCAGAGGAAGUGUUAUUUGGAGUAUUUUUUUUUACAUACCUUCAAUAAAAAUAAGCGCCCCCCACGUAUAUGGAACAUAUUCCAUUUAGAAAUUGUUUCAGUUUUCAAAAGUCUUUGUAAAUGGUCAGUUCUUUCCUGCCAGUAAGUAGAAGGGAUUUGUUAUAUUAAACUGGAGACAUUUAAAUUAGUAAGUUAAUUCAUUGUUUUUAUUUGCCAGAGGUAAAAACUGGCUUUCUGUAUAGAUUCCAUUAAAAUUUUGAUAUUCUUCAGCUGCCAAAUUCCUAAACAAAAUAUAGUUAAAAGCAAAUACUGGCUAGAGCCAGUUAAAAUAAAAAAUGGAAUUAAACAGAUUAUCUCAGUGUAUAUUUAAGUAUUGUAGUCUGUAGAAAAAAAUGACUAUGUAGUAAUCACAACAAUUUAAAGGGAAAGUAUCCUGAGAAAUAAGAAAAAAUGAUCGCAUAUUUAGAAAUUAUAAGAUAUAAAGAAGUAAGACAUUUUAACAUAAUUCUUGUCUGGAAUUUUCAUUGUGCUAAACACUUUAGUAAUGUAGGCCAAAUAUAACAAUGGUCCACUGAACAAAACUCUCAGUUUUUGGAUUUGGUUUCCAGAGUGCAUGAUACAAACUUUGUUACCAUCUGGCAGUGCAUUUGGGAUCAUAGCCGUUGCCUGAAGAGGAGAAAUAUCAAAAGCUAAAAUUAUAGUUAAUGUAGGGUAAACUGCAGAAACAUCUGUGCCUAUGACAGCUUAUAUUUAGUUCCACUGAAACUUUUUUGGAAUUCUGAUGACCAUUUUGAAAUUUUGUGAAUGUGUGGG